AGGAGGGGCAAAGCAGUAAGGAUGAAAUCUUAAUAGCCUAGUGUUGCAGUACCCAGAGCCAAACCCAAAUAUAGAAUAUCACCUCCCCUAAACCCUGAGUGGAAAAGCUCAAAGGAAGAGAAGACACACCUCUACACAACGUUCAUGAGAAGAAGGGAAGGAUGAGUUUUCUUGGACAGCAUUUUCUUGGAAGUAAAGUGUCUGGGUUUCAAGAAAAAGGUUCUGACUCCAAGGACUCUCCAGGAAGCACAUGGAGAAGGUUGCUAAGAAGUAGCAUAGAGCCACAGUAGAAAGUUCUACCGUGGCUUUGCUGGGCACACUUAGGCAAGCUUCCUGCUCCAAUUCCUCCCACCCACCUUGGCACUGACCUGGCCUCCUGCACAAUUUGCUCCCCCAACUCAGAACACAAUGAUCAAUACUGGGAGCAAUUCUGUCCUAAGAGGAGAGUUUGGCAAUGCCCGGCCCCUUCUGCUCAGGUAACUGAAGCCAAAGGGACAUUUCCACAUCAGUUUUCCAAGUUAGUGAACAAACAAACCAAAAUCAAAAAAAAAAAAAAAAAAGAUAUAAAAGAGACAGUACUAUGUACUAGAUUUCUCAAUGUUUCAAAUGCAGUACACUCACUUCUGCCCUCAUACACAUUUCCAGUUACUGGCUGGAAAGGAUCCCACUUCACAGUCAUCCCAGUCAAUAGGCCACUCUGAUCCUGCUCCUAGAUGACCGCAACUGCCACCUCACUGGUCUCCCAACCAUUUGUCACAGAGCACCCAAAGUUACUCAGCUAGACCAAAUAUCUGAACAUGCCUCUCCCCGACUUAAAACCUUUUGCCAGCUCCUCAGCACCUGAACAUAGAGUCCAGUGCUCACCAAGGUCUACCUGGCCUCCCUUCUGUGACUCCAGCCUACUCUCUUGCCACUCCCCACCUGCUAAGCAAUGCCCUGGAGAUGUGUAUACAGGCUCAGAAUAUGCUGCACGCUCUCCUACCACUGGGACUUCACUGUACCAGACAACAGCCUAACCCCAACUAAGGUAAACUCUGCCACCAAACAUGCCUGGGAAUGGAGAAGGGUCUGCAGAUGAGAACCCCUUCUGGUUCUAUGAUUCAAAUCUUCAUUCACUCAAAGCAGGAACCAAAUCCAGUGCUCCUCCAUUGUUGGAAUAAAUGCUCUUUGCCUGAAUGCUAUUUGUGGUCUUCGUAGAAUGGAGAGUAACUGAAGGCCCCACCGGAAAUCAAUUUUAUGUAAGCUUUUCAUUCUCUGGCCUCAAGUAUUUCUAAAAUGUACCUUUCUAUGCAGGCUACUUAUUCAGGCAACUAUUUUCAGGUGAAGAUACUCAAAUGAAAAUAGAGAAUCCCUUUUGGCCUUUUGCUAAUAUUUCAUUUGUCAAAACUUUGAUAGUCUGACAAAGUCUUUACCAUGAGAUUGGUAAACUCACGGAAGCCAAACUGUCUGGGAUGCGACUUCAGCUCCACUACUUACGAACUCCAUAAUAAUGUACCUAGCCUGCCUAUACCUCAGUUUCCCAUCUAUAAAGACAAUAAAAGCACCUAUUUCACUCAUGAGAAUGAACUGAGUUAUUACACGGAAAACUUAAAAACAUAUCCAACAUACCAUAAAUCAACAGUAAAUGUAACUAUUUUUACCAAGAGGUGUCUUCAAAGAGUUUAUUUCUAAUUCAUUACACCAAUUAAUAAGAAAGGCACUUUCUCAUCCUAUUUCACUUUUACAAGGCAGACAUUUUUUUUCAAGACGGAGUCUCACUCUGUCGCCCAGGUUGGA
rnacentral:lncRNA from 1 species